UUGCACAUAAGUAUUUGUGUCAUCGACCCCACUUUACACCACUUUCGGUUGCAUCCAGAAAAAUCGUGUCCUCUUGAGUCUCCAUCUUGGCUGCCCUCAUCUCUUUUCCCCACGUCCUCCUCCUCUCCGCCAAUUCACCCCCACAACAAGGUGAGUUGGAUCCUUCCUCAAGAUGUGGCCCUGGCAUCCUGCCCUUCACCAUGCCCCAACGUGCCGGUGAGGCGGUGAGCUACUUCUUCCCGCCAUCCCCUUCAAUGGUUUCAUCGCUGUAUAGUCUGGGUCUCAACGAUAAGGCCAGCAGACGAGGCCUGGAUCGACGCCGACAAGCCCCUCCCGGCAAGCCUCUUCAGCGCCAAGAAGGAGCGCAGGAAGGCCAGCGUCGGCACUGGAGAGGAGAUGGUGUACUGAGUAACUGAGGUGAUUCUUGAAGUAGAUCAGUCUGCCGCUGUCACUAGGAGGCUGGAACCUGGAAGCGGGUGGUUCAGAACCUAUUCUCCACCUGUCAUUUUCAUCGCAGAACCACCUAAUCGGUUUAGUCUGACCACUAUUGUUUAAUAUAAUCAAGGAAAGAAACGAUUUUAUACAUGUCACAUGUGUUCAUCGAUUAUCUGUUGUAACCUGUAGAGAGGGGAGGCAAGCCAGUUGGGGUUAUGUUCUCCUGUCUUCUUGCUACUAUGUUUCUGAGCCGUUGGGAAGACUACCAUGGCUGCUCCCAUGUUGCCAGGCCCAAUAUACAUGGACCCUGCAAGAAGCAGCAGCUUCACUUCAGCGAUGAAGGAAUUGGCCAUCUGCUGAACUAAUCCCUUCCAGGGCAACAACAUCGCUUGCAACAUGCUACUUUCCUAUACGCAGUUGCAAAAUCCAAACUUCCAACAUCUAGAUAUGUUUGAGGUAACGUGCAAAUAGUACAUCUAUGUAUUGUAUGGUUGAUUUUUAUGAUCAAAUUGUUGAGACUUAUGAAAACUGGUAUAAUGAAAUAAAAAACAAAUGAAAUCACCUUCGAGUCGUGUCAAAGGUCCUUAAUACUAUCAUUACAAUGUUAACUUCUUGGGAGUCCUAUAUGGACGUGUGAUUGUUAUAUAUUAUAAUGUUCCAAGUAAAGUAAUAAUUGAUGUAUAGCAUAAAGGUUAAUAUAUAAGUUCAGGUACUUUUCUAAAGAGAUGUAUGAGUUUAGAUAUUACGUGAAGGUUAUCUACGAAUCGCCUGCAUAUCGCUUUCUUUCCUGCAUUUUCACAAUACCUUUAUAGUUAAUAUAAAGGCCUAUUUACAUAGUACCGUUGCGUGGUAAUUCAGUUUUUGUCGAUUUUGAAUGAAAAAUCUUCAAACAGUACCACCAUGCAAUUCCCAAGAAUCAAGACGCCAGUAUAAUAAAUAAAUUGGAAAAUAAUGAUUAUAAUCUGGGAAUGGAUAAGAAUCAGGAAUGUUAAACAAAAAUAUCUAGCAUUACACAUUAGUCAUUUCUGGAGUAGUAGUUUUCCUGGCUUGCACAUUCACAUCUUGUUGGUCUCAUUUAAUACGACAUGUUUAAACCGCGACUAAAUUUUUUUGUGUUAUGGAUAGGUCUUAUUGUGUAUGGGGCCAACCUAUGGAAUGUCAAAGUGCUCUCAACUUUCAGUUUAGAUACUUGCACUGGUGUAAUGUUUGCUUCCAGCAUAUACACAACUUUCCGUGUUUUUUGAUGGAAAGGUUUAUCUUGAUGUAUGUGUAUUACCUAUACAAUUUGCUGUUAAUCAAAUCAAGCUAGCACCUAGCUUUCAUGUAUCCUGCAGUUUGUUAUAUACCGUCUUAAGUCACUGUAUUAUCUGUAGAAAAUUGAUUGUUAACAAACUGCAGCUGAUAUCAGUGUAUUCCUUGUUUUUCCACUGAUAACGUCCUUUUGAAUAACAUUGAGAUGCAGCGCCUUGUGGUGUUCAGCACCCACGGAUGGGUGAUGAGGAGCUUGCUUCCAUCAGAGUUGGCAAUGGAAGUCGAGGUGAUUAAUUAUAUGUUUGGAAAAAGGCCACAGCUUGUUGUGGCGGUCUUGCAUCAGUCGCCGUGACUAAGGCUAGAAAGCCAGUGAUACUUGGAAGGUAGUGAAGCACUGUUUAUAGAAAGCGCGGAAGCUGCCUUCCAGAAUACUUACACAAACCACUGGAACACCUAUGCAUUGCGUAAUAUUUGUGUGUUCUGUUUGUUUAGCUGAACUGUAUGACUAUACUGUGUAAAGUAUAUUUGUCAUAAAUUUAUAUCUCAUGUCUCCGUUAAUUAUCAGUUGUCACAAUUUAUUUUGUAAUUUAUUCUUCAUACUGCUUAGUGAUUAUUUUCUACUACCCACUUAUCAAUAUAAUUGGAAAUAUGUAUGGUGUUCCGUAUCGAGCAAUUCCAAUA